UCCACCUCCACAAUUGCUCCUCUAUGUCCGCUCCUGCUGCCGUGCUACAACCGUUUGGGGCGGUGUAGAGAACGCAACCAACAGGCGACCACCGAAUUGGCUGCGAGUUGUUCCUUUUUUGGGAAAUGCAGAGAGCCGCAGCGAACAACGUUUUGGCGCUUUUUCCAGUUGGUCGAGCUGCGGCUAGGUUUCCGCUACAAAUGCGAAGCAUUACACGGUGGCAAAUUUUUGACGCACUUCAUAGAAAAACGCUCCAAAUUCCAGGUUCGGAAUCAUUAAGCAGUAAUUAAUUUUUAUUGAUUAUCUUAUUUCUAUCGAAAAGUCUCGUGCUUUCUAUCGAGAAAUUGCUUAAUAUCAAUAUCAAUUGAGGUUGUCGGCAAUAAGGCAAGAAGUUGGAGCAUUUUGAUGGAAAUAAAGAUGCGAAUAGUCUUUCAUAGCUACCUAAA